GAGUUUGAUCAUGGCUCAGGAUGAACGCUGGCGGCGUGCCUAACACAUGCAAGUCGAACGGAGUUCUUAAGGAAUGCGGCUUCGGCCAAAUGACUUUUGAACUUAGUGGCGGACGGGUGAGUAACGCGUGAGCAACCUGCCUUUCAGAGGGGGAUAACAUUUGGAAACAGAUGCUAAUACCGCAUAAGAUUACAGUACCGCAUGAUACAGUGAUCAAAGGAGCAAUCCGCUGAAAGAUGGGCUCGCGUCCGAUUAGAUAGUUGGUGAGGUAACGGCUCACCAAGUCGACGAUCGGUGGCCGGACUGAGAGGUUGAACGGCCACAUUGGGACUGAGACACGGCCCAGACUCCUACGGGAGGCAGCAGUGGGGAAUAUUGCACAAUGGGCGAAAGCCUGAUGCAGCAACGCCGCGUGAGGGAAGACGGUUUUCGGAUUGUAAACCUCUGUUUCGGUGACGAACAAUGACGGUAACCGAGUAGGAAG
rnacentral:rRNA from 1 species